GCCAGACUCCUACGGGAGGCAGCAGUGGGGGAUAUUGCACAAUGGGGGGAACCCUGAUGCAGCGACGCCGCGUGGGUGAAGGAGCGUUUCGGCGCGUAAAGCCCUAUCGGCAGGGAAGAAGGAGGACGGUACCUGACUAAGAAGCCCCGGCUAACUACGUGCCAGCAGCCGCGGUAAUACGUAGGGGGCAAGCGUUAUCCGGAUUUACUGGGUGUAAAGGGGGCGCAGACGGCAGCGCAAGCCAGGAGUGAAAGCCCGGGGCCCAACCCCGGGACUGCUCUUGGAACUGCGCGGCUGGAGUGCAGGAGGGGCAGGCGGAAUUCCUGGUGUAGCGGUGAAAUGCGUAGAUAUCAGGAGGAACACCGGUGGCGAAGGCGGCCUGCUGGACUGCGACUGACGUUGAGGCCCGAAAGCGUGGGGAGCAAACAGGAUUAGAUACCCUUGUAGU
rnacentral:rRNA from 1 species